rnacentral:lncRNA from 1 species
UACAUUCUACACACCAAUGUGUUUAGUCAAGGAAAAGGCAACAGAGAGCAACAAUUCUAUCUUUGGUUUGAUCCAACUGCUGAUUUCCACACCUAUUCCAUUCUAUGGAAUCCUCAGCGCAUUAUGUAAGUACUGUUUACAAUUACAAUUACGAUACAUACACAAACACCAGAAACGAUACUCAGACAUUAACUUAUCGACACAUGAUGUUGUUAGACACCAACACGUAUCAGACACCAAACACAUCUUUAAUCUUAAGUCUAAGUGUUCUGGUAGAUUUAGAAUUCCUUCAAAAUGUAUCUAUUUCACACUAAAUUGAAUAUUGAUGAGCUUGUGCUUUUAUUGAAUGCAGUUUCUCAGUGGAUGGAACACCUAUAAGAGAAUUCAAGAACAUGGAAUCAAAAGGAGUUGCAUUUCCAAAGAAUCAGCCAAUGAGGAUAUACUCAAGUCUAUGGAAUGCUGAUGAUUGGGCAACAAGAGGUGGUAUUGUCAAGACUGAUUGGACAAAUGCUCCAUUCACUGCUUCUUACAGGAAUUUCAAUGCAGAUGCUUCUUCAUCCAAUGCAUGGUACUCUCAACAGUUGGAUUCAACAAGUCAACAGAGAUUGAAUUGGGUGCAAAAGAAUUACAUGAUUUACAAUUAUUGCAAUGACUCCAAAAGAUUUCCUCAGGGCCUUCCAACAGAAUGCACUGCAUCUUAAUUAAUCUUUCUUUAUUCCUAUCGAAACAAUAUAUAUACAUUUAGAUUUUUUCUUUUUCUUCUUUCAUAGGCCUAUUCUAUUGGUUUUACUUGUAAUGUGCUUCAUGUUAAUUCAUUUAUUCUUUGAUACAAUACAAUAAAUAAAGAUUCAGUUUUAUUUUCUUCCAAGCUUCAUAUAAUCUGUUAAAUUGGUCGAUUCAAUAUUUGUUUAAAGGUGCGUAUAACAAAUGUCCAUUAUUAUAACUUAAGGCACAAGGCAGAAACGUGUAAAACUAAAGGAUGACAUGUUCAUUUUAAAAUGGAAAAUUGUAAGGAAUGUCUUUCCUAGACACCGGUUAAGGAAAAAUAUAGAAGUUUUCUGUUGAAAAUUAUGUAUUCAAUUAGGUUUGAGAUUUACUCCACACCCCUCAUAAUUUGGGUUAUUUAUCCAUUAACCAAUGAGGACAAGUCACAUAAAUAGAUUUGCAUGUAGUACCCACAGAUAAUUUGUAAUCAAUUUUUACUUCACAUACAUAUGGCUUGUUCUCAUUAGUUGACGAGUAAAUACCACAAAUUAUGAAUGGGUAGUUUAGAAAAAAAUCAUUCAAUUAUUUAAAAGUUUGAAAAGUGAAAACCACUUGCAAGAUAUUCUAAUAUAUAAUCUAGAUCUAUUUUAAUUUAUAUUUCUCUUCUAGUUGAUGUAUUAUUGUCUUUAGAUCAUCUAUAGAUUUGAAACAAAGUAAUUGAAUCUCAGCUUCUUUAUCUUUUCAUUUAGUUCUUUUAUCAUUUGUUGCAUUAUGUAUGAAAUAUUGAACUAUUUUAAAAUUAUGAAUUUUUGGAUAAUGGAGUUUUAGAUGUAAACAAGAACUUUUUUUUUUUUGGUACAACAAGGGCCCGUUUGAAUUGACUUAUUUUUGAGUCAAUGCAAAAUAACUUAUACAAAUAAAUAAGUUUUUAAAAUAGUUUAUAAAAAAACAUCUAAUAAAAAUGCAAUUUUAGUUAGUGAGAACUUAUGAAUUAACUUCUUUUUUUUUUUACUAAAAUUUAUGGAUUAACUUAAAAAUAAGCUCAAAAAUAAGUCAUUUGAAUGGGCUCAACGUUUCAAUCUAACUCGUAUUAACCGACCCGUUCUACGCCGGCGCCACCUGUAUGACCCGAACAAACCAAAGAUGUAAUCAAUCCAAAUUGGAUCCGAAUUCAAUUGUUGCAAUUUUUACCAGUUUAGUAAAUUUCAGCCGAAACCAGUUCGAAACCGACCGAAACUCAAGGACAUGAUUCAAUGAUUUUGUCCUAAAUAUAAUAUUAACAAAAAAUUGAGUGAACAAAUAGUACAACUUUGCGGAUUUAGUCGUAUCCUGUGACCAUGAGCGGUCUGAUGGCGGUGCUGUAUUGGGUAGGACGUGCCUGCCCAGCAAAUAAAUGUAUUGAAAUUUUGAGACCUCACACACAAACAUUGGAACCAACUCUGAUGUUUCAAAUAUCAUUAAAAUAUGCGAAUGCGCGUAUCUUACUUAAGACACAACCAAACCACUACUACUGGCUAGUACAUACACACUACAUUGAGUCUGAGAUAUUGGGUUGGCAGCAAGAGACAACCACUUGCAAAUAUUUUAUUAUAUUUUAUUUCAGACAUGUUUUAUGGUCACUAUAUUCAGUCAUUAACGACACCUUAGGCCAAAUAUAACUACAGCUGUAUCCAAUUGAGUGCACUUUCCUUUGUUCCUUCCAUCCUUCAACACAUUAAUUCAUUCAUAACUAUAAAUACAUACAACUCCCACAAUCAUCUAUCCCUCCAAUAUUUCUUCAUACUAGCAAAAUAUACAUCACCUUCAAAUAUUAACCAUGGCAUUUACUCAUAAUUGUUCAAUCCUCUUUUCUCUAUUGGUCUUUGGUUCUUCUUUUAUCAUCUCAACAUAUGCGGCAGGAAAUUUCAACCAGAAUUUUGAUAUUACAUGGGGCGAUGGUCGUGCCAAGAUACUAGACAAUGGCCAACUUCUCACUCUUUCCCUUGACAAAGCCUCUGGGUCUGGAUUCCAAUCCAAGAACGAAUAUCUAUUCGGCAACAUUGAUAUGCAACUCAAACUUGUACCAGGAAAUUCUGCAGGCACCGUCACUGCAUACUAUGUAAGUACUCAGCAACACAAUUUCAUGUAAUUACUGUCUUAAUGCUACUGCUACAAUAAUAUUCAACUUUCAAAUUCAUGAUCAUGUGUUAAUUGUUUUUUCUAUGGCAUGCAGUUGUCAUCAAAAGGAUCAAAUUGGGACGAGAUUGAUUUUGAAUUUUUAGGGAAUGUGAGUGGAGAGCCAUACAUUCUACACACCAAUGUGUUUAGUCAAGGAAAAGGCAACAGAGAGCAACAAUUCUAUCUUUGGUUUGAUCCAACUGCUGAUUUCCACACAUAUUCCAUUCUAUGGAAUCCUCAGCGCAUUAUGUAAGUACUUUUUACAAUUACAAUUACAAUACAUACACAAACACCAGACACGAUAUGAGAUAUAGAAUUGACACAUGAUGUUGUACACUGACACGUGUCAGACACUAACCACAUUUUUAAUCUUAAGGCUUAGUGUUUGAUAAAUUUAAAAUUCCUUCAAAUUGUUUAUAUUUCACACAAUGAAUUGAUUAUUGAUGAGCCUGUGUUAAUUUAAAUGCAGUUUCUCAGUGGAUGGAACACCCAUAAGAGAAUUCAAGAACAUGGAAUCAAAAGGAGUUGCAUUUCCAAAGAAUCAGCCAAUGAGGAUAUACUCAAGUCUGUGGAAUGCUGAUGAUUGG